GAUAAAAUAAAAUAAAAUAAAAUAAAAUAAAAAGCCCCGAUGAGUUUUCACUAGUCAGCGCUGUCCCCUGCCAAGCCUUGUCGGCACAUUCAGUGAACACACUUCCCGAAAACAACCCAGGUUUGGUACGGUCCUGUCCGCCCCUGCCUUUUAUGACAGGAAUGUGUGCAGUGCAGAAUGGGAGGAGGAGGAAAGCCUUUAAACCUGCCUUCAUCUGCUUUCCAUCCCGAGGCAGUUUAUGAUGAUGGCCCUUUCCAAAAAUGAAGCUCCCUCACGUUAAAAACACCUGCUCCAGAUACAAAAGGGAGCGUCUCCUGUCAGGUGACGCUGAUGGAAUUGCAGCGAGCGCACAAAGGGGAAGGAAUCAACAUGGUGUAAACAACCUGUCAUUCAAAGGUGGCUGUCUGUGUGCACGGAAAUAACAAAUGGCAGAGUCCUAGAUUGACUGUGUUUGUGUGAAAAAGUCGUCUGUAGGUGUGGCAGGUGUGCUCCCAAGCUUUAUUUUGGGAAGGGGUUGUCUGUAUUUGUGUGUCUUGUACCUUGAGGCCAGGUGAGGCUUCACAUGAGUUGCAGGUGACAAAUCAGUGUCUCUUUCUAUUGGCUGAUAUCCUAAACCAGUUUCUAUGCAUUUUUCUGGCCAUUUAAGGAAACCCACCUCAAAGUCCCAAAUCCUAAUGCAGAGCUGCACUGUCAGGUACAGAGUGCAAACUAAUACAUCCUCACUUGUGUUAUAAAAUGUAUUCUAUGUUAUAACCUCAUAUAACCUUUCUUUCUGAUAUUAUAUUUUGCUGCGUGACAGAGCAAGAUGUCUGUGGUCAGAGGCACCGACUGCAUGAGGCAGCUUUAUGACUUUAUUGUCACAUUGUCUGUCUACAUGUGUUGCCCCACAAUUUGUGUUUGAAUAUAAGUUGCUUGAAGGCUUAUAACACAGAGAUACGGCUG